rnacentral:rRNA from 1 species
CCAGCACCCGCGGUAAUUCCAGCUCCAAUAGCGUAUAUUAAAGUUGUUGCGGUAAAAAAGCUCGUAGUUGGAUUUCUGUUGAGAGCAACCGGUCCAUACCAUGUAUGCGUAUCUGGCUUACUCUCGGCAUCCUCUCGAUAGACGUUGCUGCGCUUGAUUGCGUGGCGCGGAUCUCGGGACUUUUACUUUGAGGAAAUUAGAGUGUUCACGGCAGGCCUUCGCCAGAAUACAUUAGCAUGGAAUAAUACUAUAGGAUCUUGGUUCUAUUUUGUUGGUUUCUAGAAUUGAGAUAAUGAUUAAUAGGGACAAUUGGGGGCAUUCGUAUCAACACGUCAGAGGUGGAAUUCUUGGAUUGUGUUGCGACGAACUACUGCGAAAGCAUUUGCCAAGGAUGUUUUCAUUGAUCAAGAACGAAAGU